CCUACGGGUGGCAGCAGUGAGGAAUAUUGGUCAAUGGACGAGAGUCUGAACCAGCCAAGUAGCGUGAAGGAUGACUGCCCUAUGGGUUGUAAACUUCUUUUAUAUGGGAAUAAAACGUUCCACGUGUGGGAUUUUGUCUGUACCAUAUGAAUAAGGAUCGGCUAACUCCGUGCCAGCAGCCGCGGUAAUACGGAGGAUCCGAGCGUUAUCCGGAUUUAUUGGGUUUAAAGGGAGCGUAGGUGGAUUGUUAAGUCAGUUGUGAAAGUUUGCGGCUCAACCGUAAAAUUGCAGUUGAAACUGGCAGUCUUGAGUACAGUAGAGGUGGGCGGAAUUCGUGGUGUAGCGGUGAAAUGCUUAGAUAUCACGAAGAACUCCGAUUGCGAAGGCAGUUCACUGGACUGCAACUGACACUGAGGCUCGAAAGUGUGGGUAUCAAACAGGAUUAGAUACCCUAGUAGUC
rnacentral:rRNA from 1 species